rnacentral:rRNA from 1 species
UACGGAGGGUGCAAGCGUUAUCCGGAUUUACUGGGUUUAAAGGGUGUGUAGGCGGGCUGUUAAGUCCGUGGUGAAAUCUCCGGGCUCAACCCGGAAACUGCCAUUGAUACUAAUGGUCUUGAAUUUUGUUGAGGUAGGCGGAAUAAGUCAUGUAGCGGUGAAAUGCAUAGAUAUGACUUAGAACACCAAUUGCGAAGGCAGCUUGCUAAACAAAUAUUGACGCUGAGGCACGAAAGCGUGGGGAUCAAACAGG